rnacentral:rRNA from 1 species
UACGGAGGGUGCGAGCGUUGUCCGGAAUCACUGGGCGUAAAGGGCGCGUAGGCGGCCUGAUAAGUAGGGGGUGAAAUCCUGCGGCUUAACCGCAGGGCUGCCUUCUAAACUGUCAGGCUAGAGCACGGUAGAGGCAGAUGGAAUUCCCGGUGUAGCGGUGGAAUGCGUAGAGAUCGGGAAGAACAUCAGUGGCGAAGGCGGUCUGCUGGGCCGUUGCUGACGCUGAUGCGCGAAAGCUAGGGGAGCAAACAGG